rnacentral:rRNA from 1 species
CACCAGGCGCGAAAACUUUACAAUGCCGGCAACGGCGAUAAGGGAACCUCGAGUGCCAGGUUACAAAUCUGGCUGUCGUGAUGCCUAAAAAGCAUUGCAUAGCAAGGGCCGGGCAAGACCGGUGCCAGCCGCCGCGGUAACACCGGCGGCUCGAGUGGUAACCGUUAUUAUUGGGUCUAAAGGGUCUGUAGCCGGCCGGGUAAGUCUCUUGGGAAAUCUGGCAGCUUAACUGUCAGGCUUUCAGGAGAUACUGCCUGGCUCGAGGCCGGGAGAGGUGAGAGGUACUUCAGGGGUAGGGGUGAAAUCUUGUAAUCCUUGAAGGACCACCAGUGGCGAAGGCGUCUCACCAGAACGGACCUGACGGCAAGGGACGAAAGCUAGGGGCACGAACCGGAUUAGAUACCCGGGUAGUCCUAGCCGUAAACGAUACUCGCUAGGUGUCGGCCACGGUGCGACCGUGGUCGGUGCCGUAGGGAAGCCGUGAAGCGAGCCACCUGGGAAGUACGGCCGCAAGGCUGAAACUUAAAGGAAUUGGCGGGGGAGCACAAGGGCGAAUCGCGGC